UACGAAGGGUGCAAGCGUUACUCGGAAUUACUGAACGUAAAGCGUACAUAGAUGGUUUGUUAAGUCUGAUGUGAAAGCCCUGGGCUCAACCUGGGAAUUGCAUUGGAUACUGGCAAGCUAGAGUGCGGUAGAGGAUGGCGGAAUUCCCGGUGUAGCAGUGAAAUGCGUAGAGAUCGAGAGGAACAUCUGUGGCGAAGGCGACCAUCUGGACCAGCACUGACACUGAGGCACGAAAGCGUGGGAAGCAAACAGG
rnacentral:rRNA from 1 species